UACGGAGGGGACUAGCGUUGUUCGGAAUUACUGGGCGUAAAGCGCACGUAGGCGGAUUUGUAAGUUAGGGGUGAAAUCCCGGGGCUCAACCUCGGAACUGCCUUUGAUACUGCAAAUCUCGAGUCCGGAAGAGGUGAGUGGAAUUCCCAGUGUAGAGGUGAAAUUCGUAGAUAUUGGGAAGAACACCGGUGGCGAAGGCGGCUCACUGGACUGGUAUUGACGCUGAGGUGCGAAAGCGUGGGGAGCAAACAGG
rnacentral:rRNA from 1 species